rnacentral:tRNA from 1 species
GCCGCCAUGGUGAAACGGUAGACACGCUGCUCUUAGGAAGCAGUGCUAGAGCAUCUCGGUUCGAGUCCGAGUGGCGGCA